UACAGAGGUCCCGAGGCGUUGUUCGGAUUCACUGGGCGUAAAGGGUGCGUAGGUGGCUUGAAAAGUUUGAUGUGAAAGCUCAGGGCUUAACCCUGAAAUGGCAUUGAAUACUGUCGGGCUGGAGGUUGGAGGGGGGACUGGAAUUCUUGGUGUAGCAGUGAAAUGCGUAGAUAUCAAGAGGAACACCAGUGGCGAAGGCGAGUCCCUGGACAACACCUGACACUGAGGCACGAAAGCUAGGGGAGCAAACAGG
rnacentral:rRNA from 1 species